rnacentral:rRNA from 1 species
UGGGAGGUAAAUUUCUCCUAAGGCUAAAUAUCGGCGAGAGACCGAUAGCGAACAAGUACCGUGAGGGAAAGAUGAAAAGAACUUUGAAAAGAGAGUAAAAUAGUACGUGAAAUUGUUGAAAGGGAAACGAUUGAAGUCAGUCGUACCGACGAGAAAUCAACUUAUCGUGUGCGAACUUGUGGGCGUGCGUGAGUUUCGGCCUCGCUGUUUGCAUGUUUGUGCGUUUUGGGUGUACUUUUUCGUAUGGUGGGCCAACAUCAGUUUCGAUUGCUAUAAAAUGACUGGCGGAAUGUAGCUUCGAUUUCGGUUGAAGUGUUAUAGCCUCUGGUAGAUGUGGUGAUUGGGACUGAGGAUUGCAACGAAUAUCCUUUGGGCUAUCCGUCUGAUCUCUGAAAGUUGCUCAGGUGCCGAAAGCGUGCUUACGGUCAUCUAAGUAGACGGUCAAUAGGUUAGAGCGUGAUUACAUUCGUUAAGGAUGUUGGCGUAAUGGCUUUAAACGACCCGUCUUGAAACACGGACCAAGGAGUCUAACAUAUAUGCGAGUGUUCGGGUGUUCAAACCCCUACGCGUAAUGAAAGUAAUUUUGGUGGGAUCACUUUUGUGUGCACCAUCGACC